GCUGAUUCCGACUGUCUGUCAAGCACAGUGGGGAGGAGCAGAGGUGGGAGAGCAGUAGGUCCUGAGCUGGCCAGCUCUGAGGGACCAGCAAUGGGUGUUUGGAGAAAGGCUGGUGAGCACAAAGCAUGUCCAACACCACGUGCAGCAUCUCCAGUUCUCUGAAGGGCAGGGUCUUCUGGUUUGGCAGGUGCACAGGCUGGAUCCUUAUGCAGGAUGGCAUCUGAAGGUAGAUAAAGAGAAAAUUAUUGCCUUGACUCAUGGGUGCCUCCUGUAAUUUGAAUGGGAAGUUGAAAUACAACCUGUUUUGAUGCUCUGCUCCUGGAAGCUCACUGAACCAGAGACUUUCCAGGUGACUCACAGCAAGAUGGUUGUUUGCUGAGAACUGCUGUAUCAAGGAUUUGGCAGGAUUAUAUAACAAGCAGUUGUCCUUCACCCCUGAUAACAUGUCUUCUCUGCAAGACUGAUGCUUACAAUUGACCAGUUUUGAGGAAGAGCAGUAAAGCAAAAUGGCAAGUGCCUGGAGACAUCUUCAGGAUGCAGCUGAGCUCCUGCCUGGAACAGAUCUAUUAUUUGUUUCUAGGCAUUGCACUGCAGUUGUUCAGGAAAGGAUAAUAAAAUUUCACUAUUACCCUCAUAAUGCCACCCAUUCCUUUGCAGUGGUCCUGUUUAAGUUGUGCUUGGCAUGGUGUACCUCAAUCUAUUUAG